GAUGAACGCUGGCGGCGUGCCUAAUACAUGCAAGUCGAGCGAACAGACGAGGAGCUUGCUCCUCUGACGUUAGCGGCGGACGGGUGAGUAACACGUGUAUAACCUACCUAUAAGACUGGGGUAACUUCGGGAAACCGGAGCUAAUACCGGAUAAUAUAUUGAACCGCAUGGUUCAAUAGUGAAAGACGGUUUUGCUGUCACUUAUAGAUGGAUCCGCGCCGCAUUAGCUAGUUGGUAAGGUAACGGCUUACCAAGGCAACGAUGCGUAGCCGACCUGAGAGGGUGAUCGGCCACACUGGAACUGAGACACGGUCCAGACUCCUACGGGAGGCAGCAGUAGGGAAUCUUCCGCAAUGGGCGAAAGCCUGACGGAGCAACGCCGCGUGAGUGAUGAAGGUCUUCGGAUCGUAAAACUCUGUUAUUAGGGAAGAACAAAUGUGUAAGUAACUAUGCACGUCUUGACGGUACCUAAUCAGAAAGCCACGGCUAACUACGUG
rnacentral:rRNA from 1 species